UGGGGAAUAUUGCACAAUGGGCGCAAGCCUGAUGCAGCCAUGCCGCGUGUAUGAAGAAGGCCUUAGGGUUGUAAAUGUACUUUCAGUCGGGAGGAAGGCGUUGAUGCUAAUAUCAUCAGCGAUUGACGUUACCGACAGAAGAAGCACCGGCUAACUCCGUGCCAGCGCCGCGGUAAUACGGAGGGUGCAAGCGUUAAUCGGAAUUACUGGGCGUAAAGCGCACGCAGGCGGUUGAUUAAGUAGAUGUGAAAUCCCGGGCUUAACCUGGGAAUGGCAUCUAAGACUGGUCAGCUAGAGUCUUGUAGAGGGGGUAGAAUUCCAUGUGUAGCGGUGAAAUUGCGUAGAGAUGUGGAGGAAUACCGGUGGCGAAGGCGGCCCCCUGGACAAAGACUGACGCUCAGGUGCGAAAGCGUGGGAGCAAACA
rnacentral:rRNA from 1 species